ACGCUGGCGGCAGGCCUAACACAUGCAAGUCGAGCGGAAACGACACUAACAAUCCUUCGGGUGCGUUAAUGGGCGUCGAGCGGCGGACGGGUGAGUAAUGCCUAGGAAAUUGCCUUGAUGUGGGGGAUAACCAUUGGAAACGAUGGCUAAUACCGCAUAAUGCCUACGGGCCAAAGAGGGGGACCUUCGGGCCUCUCGCGUCAAGAUAUGCCUAGGUGGGAUUAGCUAGUUGGUGAGGUAAUGGCUCACCAAGGCGACGAUCCCUAGCUGGUCUGAGAGGAUGAUCAGCCACACUGGAACUGAGACACGGUCCAGACUCCUACGGGAGGCAGCAGUGGGGAAUAUUGCACAAUGGGCGAAAGCCUGAUGCAGCCAUGCCGCGUGUAUGAAGAAGGCCUUCGGGUUGUAAAGUACUUUCAGUUGUGAGGAAGGGUGURWMGUUAAUAGCKKYRYMUCUUGACGUUAGCAACAGAAGAAGCACCGGCUAACUCCGUGCCAGCAGCCGCGGUAAUACGGAGGGUGCGAGCGUUAAUCGGAAUUACUGGGCGUAAAGCGCAUGCAGGUGGUUCAUUAAGUCAGAUGUGAAAGCCCGGGGCUCAACCUCGGAACUGCAUUUGAAACUGGUGAACUAGAGUGCUGUAGAGGGGGGUAGAAUUUCAGGUGUAGCGGUGAAAUGCGUAGAGAUCUGAAGGAAUACCAGUGGCGAAGGCGGCCCCCUGGACA
rnacentral:rRNA from 1 species